ACAAAUGAAUCAAAACUUUCAACAACGGAUCUCUUGGCUCUGGCAUCGAUGAAGAACGCAGCGAAAUGCGAUAAGUAAUGUGAAUUGCAGAAUCCAGUGAAUCAUCGAAUCUUUGAACGCACAUUGCGCCCGCCAGCAUUCUGGCGGGCAUGCCUGUUCG
rnacentral:rRNA from 1 species